rnacentral:rRNA from 1 species
GUGCAGCCGCCGCGGUAAUACCGGCAGCACGAGUGAUGGCCGCUGUUAUUGGGCCUAAAGCGUCCGUAGCUGGCCGCACAAGUCCGUCGGGAAAUCCGCCCGCUCAACGGGCGGCCGUCCGGCGGAACCUGUGUGGCUUGGGACCGGGAGGCCUGAGGGGUACGAUCGGGGUAGGAGUGAAAUCCUGUAAUCCCGCUCGGACCGCCGAUGGGGAAACCACCUCAGGAGAACGGAUCCGACAGUGAGGGACGAAAGCCAGGGUCUCCAACCGGAUUAGAUACCCGGGUAGUCC